UACGUAGGGACCGAGCGUUGUCCGGAAUCAUUGGGCGUAAAGAGCGUGUAGGCGGCUCGCUAAGUCUUGCGUGAAAUCUCGGGGCUCAACCCCGAGCGGUCGUGAGAAACUGGCGGGCUAGGGUGCGGGAGAGGAGAGUGGAAUUCCUGGUGUAGCGGUGAAAUGCGCAGAUAUCAGGAAGAACACCCGUGGCGAAGGCGGCUCUCUGGAACGCAACUGACGCUGAGACGCGAAAGCGUGGGGAGCAAACAGG
rnacentral:rRNA from 1 species